CCUCUUCUCCCUUCCCACGACAAGCCAUAGAAUUACAAGCACAGGUAUAAAUAUCUUUCAGCUGAUUAAAUGGUGUCCUGCCAAAAGAAGAUUUGUUUUGAGUAUAAUUUCUUGGAUGCUCUUCUAAAGGAGAAUGAUCUUUCUUUAGAGGCCUCCAUGGAAACGCAGUGUUACAUUUUCCAUUCUUUUAGAGAAGGGUAACAAAAGAACUAUCUUCCUGCUGAAAUCAAGAAAUCGAGGGUUGGAGGAUCCUAAGCUGUCCAGAACCCUAUGACUGAGUCAGCUGGUAAUUCCUGGUAAGAACUUGGCGUUUUUGAAGCCGCCUGGGCCGGAUAAGUCAGGAGGUCCAAAGCAGCCUUCCAGAUCAAGUCCUGCAGUGGAAGCACCUCCUCCCAUCCUCCCUCCAAAUCAGGAAAUGUGCUCAGAGCUAGGUUUGGGGACAAUUUGAACAGACAGUCUUUGUUCCCUGCCCAGCACAUUCCCACCUGGUGGGAGCUAAAAGCCGCAGCAGGGAAGGGUCUAUCCCUCUGAGGGUCGGGAACAUAACGGGGCUGCAGCGUUCGG
rnacentral:lncRNA from 1 species